rnacentral:tRNA from 1 species
GCUUGAGCAGCUCAGUCGGUUAAGCAUCUGACUUUGGCUCAUGAUCUCAAAGUUCGUGGGUUCAAAUCCCGCAUCAGGCU